UCCCAUGUGGCUCAGUUGGUUAGAGCAUGGUGUUUGCAACACCAGGGUAGUGGGUUCGAUUCCCAUGGGGGGAC
rnacentral:tRNA from 1 species